rnacentral:sRNA from 1 species
UCAAAUGGAGAUGCUGUUGGGGAUGCCCAUCUCCAUCACCGACGACAUGUCCUUGGGGUCACCAUAGCACGGCUUUAGCAGCACAUAUGGCACCACACCAGGGCCCCACCGGUUCCUCCGCUCCGGAUCCCUGUUCCGGCGGUCGAUCGUCUCCGCGAUCCUCAUCAUCCUCUCGUUGAACCUCCCGAACGCCGCCCUCACCUCCCUGUUUGCCAUCCACGCCGCCUCCGUGUGCGUGCCCAUGUACUCCUCGCUUGGCGAGUGCGACGACAACAGGUUGAGCGCUGGCAAGAUGAGGGUAGUCUGGUACUGCGACGGGAACGUGUCCAGCAAAACCCUGACAGGAUCCUCAACGAAUGUCGGUUGCAUGCCCUCGCACCCGUGCUCCUCCUCCGUCGGCAUGUUUCGCCGCGCGAUGGUGGGACGGUUGGGGAAGUAGCCGGCGUAGGGGUACUGGCCGAAGUUCACCGCUGCGUGGUGCCCCGAUGCGACCCAAAUAAUGGUGGUCAGGACCUUGAUGAGGCUCCCAUGGCAGUCCAGCUCUGGCCAUCCGUCCUUCUUGUCCGGGUGGCCAUUCGUUUGCACCUCGUUCCACCAACCAUGGAGCUCCUCAUCAGAGUAAAUGUCCGACGCUGACGGGUAGUAAUGGUUCACAUGGUCUGACACCCACUCCUUGAUAGAGUCCCAGACGAGCAGGCCGUCGUUGGCAUACGGGUAGUCCUCUAUCGUUAGCUUCAGCUUG